GAUGAACGCUAGCGGCAGGCUUAACACAUGCAAGUCGAGGGGUAGAGUUAGCUUGCUAAUUUGAGACCGGCGCACGGGUGCGUAACGCGUAUGCAACCUACCUUUCACAAAGGGAUAGCCCAGAGAAAUUUGGAUUAAUACCUUAUAGUAUAUCGAUGUGGCAUCACAAUGAUAUUAAAGAUUUAUCGGUACAAGAUGAG
rnacentral:rRNA from 1 species